GGGGAUAUAAGGAGAGGUAAAGUCUGAAGUUAUAAGGAUACAGAGAGGUAAAGUCUGCAUGUGGUAAGGAUACAGAGAGGUAAAGUCUGUGGUAAGGAUACAGAGAGGUAAAGUCUGUGGUACAGAGAGGUAAAGUCUGUGGUACAGAGAGGUAAAGUCUGUGGUACAGAGAGGUAAAGUCUGUGGUACAGAGAGGUAAAGUCUGUGGUACAGAGAGGUAAAGUCUGUGGUACAGAGAGGUAAAGUCUGU